rnacentral:rRNA from 1 species
UACGUAGGUGGCAAGCGUUGUCCGGAUUUAUUGGGUUUAAAGGGUGCGUAGGUGGCUAUUUAAGUCAGUGGUGAAAGACGGUCGCUCAACGAUUGCAGUGCCAUUGAUACUGAAUAGCUUGAGUAGAGAUGAGGUGGGCGGAAUUGAUAGUGUAGCGGUGAAAUGCAUAGAUAUUAUCAAGAACACCAAUUGCGAAGGCAGCUCACUGGGUUCUAACUGACACUGAGGCACGAAAGUGUGGGGAUCAAACAGG